rnacentral:rRNA from 1 species
UACGUAGGGGGCGAGCGUUUUCCGGAUUUAUUGGGCGUAAAUCGCUCGUAGGCGGCUUGUCACGUCGGGUGUGAAAGCCCGGGGCUUAACCCCGGGUCUGCAUUCGAUACGGGCAGGCUAGAGUGUGGUAGGGGAGAUCGGAAUUCCUGGUGUAGCGGUGAAAUGCGCAGAUAUCAGGAGGAACACCGGUGGCGAAGGCGGGUCUCUGGGCAGUAACUGACGCUGAGGAGCGAAAGCGUGGGGAGCGAACAGG